rnacentral:lncRNA from 1 species
AAUAAGGGGUUUUCUAGACCUCUGGUAACAUCUAGAGAUUCUUGAGAUGGUUUUCAGAUUGUAUGCAAUGUGAUCGGUCAGCUUCCUGUUCUUGCCACUGUGACCUCCCCUUCUCCAUCAUGGUGGACUCUAGGCCCCCUACCCCCCACCCCCCUGGAAAUGUAAGUCCAGAUAAACCUUUUCUCCCCUAA